rnacentral:lncRNA from 1 species
UGCCAACCCAGGGGCCCUGGCAUUUGACCAGCGGGAGAGGCAGCUUGGUAAGGGGGAAGGAGCGUGCCCUGGGCGAGUGGAGCCAGGUUUGAAUGCUGCCCUACCUCCGCCCAGCGCAGCUGACCACUCCCGUCCACUCCCUUCCCCUCCUCCCACCCCAUGGGAUCUCAGUGAGCUUCUCCUCUCUUUCGGGAGAGUUGGUGAGGAGCUCAGGAUCAGCAUAAGUGGAGCCCUUCAUACUCAACCAGGACAUGUGAUUUUCCUGGAACACAGCCUGGCCUCUUUAGGGACAAUUUUCAGUCCUGCCAGAGACUUCCACCCUUCCCAACCAGCUGUGGACUCCCGAGCCUUCAACUGCACCCUGAGUCUGGGGGCAGAUGUUGGAGUGCAAGGAGCCUGGGCAGUGGUGCUCGCCCAGGCUGCCUAAGGCCACCAUUCAUUCUACUUUAUGCACCAGGCUCAACUCUGUACACGCGGCCUCAUUGACACUCAUGCCAGCCCUGUGAGGCACACUAUUAUGACCUCCGUUUUACAGAGGAGGAAACUGAGGUUCAGAGAGUACUUUAGCAGCUCUGGAGAGCGGGGCUUGGCUUUCCCCCCAUCUCUGCCACUGGCUGGUUAGGUUCACCAGGAGUGGGCAAGCUGGGUUCCAAGCCUCUGCUUGGGAUCUGGAGAAUGUAAACGGCAUAAGGGCUGGUCGUCCUUGAGCAAAUGUUUAGGCACCUACUGUUGGAGACAGGGAGGAAGGAAACAGCAGCCUUUCGGGAGCUCGCAAACCCAGGGCGUUGGACAGGUCUGCAGCCAAGGUUUCCCAGCUACCCUAAGACGUUGGCUGGACAGAACUAUCCUCAAGGACAGACAGAAAACAGAACCAGGGGCAUGGAAAGUCUUGCCCAUGGUCAUGGGGCUCCAUAAUUGAAAAGCCAAGGCCCAUUCCUGGCUCCAGCUCUAGGCUCCUGCCCCUGAACCUUCUGCCCAGGCUCCCAUCCGACCUCCCGGGACCCUGCCUGCCACAGCCCACCACACCAUCUACCUCCUUGCACCCCCAUGACCUCCUCCCCUGGGGGAGACAGGGCACUCCAGAUGGAGUGUGAGCCCUGCAUUUUCACAGGAAAACCGCCACAGGGUCUGGU